rnacentral:lncRNA from 1 species
AACAAGGCCUGUGUAAAUUUCAUCGACGUUUACUAAAAUGUACAGUACUCGCUCCAUUUCAUCAAAUUAUAAAACAUUUUAUCUUUUAUUAUAAAUUUAUGGUUUUUUAUAUGUAUUUACAUAUAGGUAUAUUUUCUAUACUCUCGGGAGUAGUUACUCCCACCGAGAGUAUACACACUAUUAAGGCUCCGGCGAGUCAGAAGGUGGCUAACGGGUUGAGAAACGUGACCCGUUUAAAUGGCUUGUUGACAUAUAUACAUAAAAAAAACUGAAUACUAAAUAAUUACCGUGAAAACCGGAUCGGAUCAGAUUUGACGCUGGGUUUGUUAUCUGAGGCAUGUUUGUAUGUUAAUAGUACGUAUUCAUAGUUACGGCUAGGUCUAUU